UGGGGAAUUUUGGACAAUGGGCGAAAGCCUGAUCCAGCCAUGCCGCGUGAGUGAAGAAGGCCUUCGGGUUGUAAAGCUCUUUUAGUCGGAAAGAAAGAGUUGCAAUGAAUAAUUGUGAUUUAUGACGGUACCGACAGAAAAAGCACCGGCUAACUACGUGCCAGCAGCCGCGGUAAUACGUAGGGUGCGAGCGUUAAUCGGAAUUACUGGGCGUAAAGGGUGCGCAGGCGGUCUUGCAAGUCAGAUGUGAAAGCCCCGGGCUUAACCUGGGAAUGGCGUUUGAAACUACAAGACUAGAGUGCAGCAGAGGGGAGUGGAAUUCCAUGUGUAGCAGGGAAAUGCGUAGAGAUGUGGAAGAACACCGAUGGCGAAGGCAGCUCCCUGGGUUGACACUGACGCUCAUGCACGAAAGCGUGGGGAGCAAACA
rnacentral:rRNA from 1 species